UUAUGGAAUAGGUUUCGACUGGACGAGACCUCAAAGCAAUUAAGAGAUAUUUCAGUUUGGAGAGUGUUGAACUGUCAGAGAAAGAGAAGUUAUGCUUGUUUGAUUCAUAAACUCACAGAGAAGCUCAUGACAUCCAGUGGUAUGACAGAGGCAGAGCAUGCAAACAAGUCAGUCAACAUUAUAAACACCCUAAACGACUGUCUAAGUACCAGUCUCAUUCAUCCUCUAACUAAUUAACAGAUGACCACAGAAGUGCUGAUAAAAACACUAGUUCUCACCAUUUUUGGAGUCAUCCACUUCCUUACAGCCGGUCACUCAUCAUUUAGUCAUCCACUUCCUUACAGCCGGUCACUCAUUAUUUAGUCAUCCACUUCCUUACAGCCGGUCACUCAUCAUUUAGUCAUCCACUUCCUUACAGCCGGCCACUCAUCAUUUAGUCAUCCACUUCCUUACAGCCGGUCACUCAUCAUUUAGUCAUCCACUUCCUUACAGCCGGUCACUCAUCAUUUAGUCAUCCACUUCCUUACAGCCGGUCACUCAUCAUUUAGUCAUCCACUUCCUUACAGCCGGUCACUCAUCAUUUAGUCAUCCACUUCCUUACAGCCGGUCAUUCAUCAUUUAGUCAUCCACUUCCUUACAGCCGGUCACUCAUCAUUUAGUCAUCCACUUCCUUACAGCCGGCCACUCAUCAUUUAGUCAUCCACUUCCUUACAGCCGGCCACUCAUCAUUUAGUCAUCCACUUCCUUACAGCCGGUCACUCAUCAUUUAGUCAUCCACUUCCUUACAGCCGGUCAUUCAUCAUUUAGUCAUCCACUUCCUUACAGCCGGUCACUCAUCAUUUAGUCAUCCACUUCCUUACAGCCGGCCACUCAUCAUUUAGUCAUCCAUUGUAAUCAUUCAUUCAUGAAUCAUUCACUAAUUCAUUUAUUAUUUGUAAACCUUGUCAUAGCAAUGUCCAGUGUUAUAGUUCUGACUGUGGUGUAAUGUCCAGUGUUAUAGGUCUGACUGUGGUGUAAUGUCCAGUGUUAUAGUUCUGACUGUGGUGUAAUGUCCAGUGUUAUAGUUCUGACCGUGGUGUAAUGUCCAGUGUUAUAGUUCUGACUGUGGUGUAAUGUCCAGUGUUAUAGGUCUGACUGUGGUGUAAUGUCCAGUGUUAUAGUUCUGACUGUGGUGUAAUGUCCAG